AUUGAACGCUGGCGGCAGGCCUAACACAUGCAAGUCGAGCGGAUGAAGAGAGCUUGCUCUCUGAUUCAGCGGCGGACGGGUGAGUAAUGCCUAGGAAUCUGCCUGGUAGUGGGGGACAACGUUUCGAAAGGAACGCUAAUACCGCAUACGUCCUACGGGAGAAAGUGGGGGAUCUUCGGACCUCACGCUAUCAGAUGAGCCUAGGUACGAUUAGCUAGUUGGUGAGGUAAAGGAUCACCAAGGCGACGAUCGUUAACUGGUCUGAGAGGAUGAUCAGUCACACUGGAACUGAGACACGGUCCAGACUCCUACGGGAGGCAGCAGUGGGGAAUAUUGGACAAUGGGCGAAAGCCUGAUCCAGCCAUGCCGCGUGUGUGAAGAAGGUCUUCGGAUUGUAAAGCACUUUAAGUUGGGAGGAAGGGCAGUAAGUUAUGCCUUGCUGUUUUGACGUUACCGACAGAAUAAGCACCGGCUAACUUCGUGCCAGCCGCCGCCGUAAGAC
rnacentral:rRNA from 1 species